UACGUAGGGUGCAAGCGUUAAUCGGAAUUACUGGGCGUAAAGCGUGCGCAGGCGGUUGUGCAAGACAGGUGUGAAAUCCCCGGGCUUAACCUGGGAACUGCACUUGUGACUGCACGGCUGGAGUACGGCAGAGGGGGAUGGAAUUCCGCGUGUAGCAGUGAAAUGCGUAGAUAUGCGGAGGAACACCGAUGGCGAAGGCAAUCCCCUGGGCCUGUACUGACGCUCAUGCACGAAAGCGUGGGGAGCAAACAGGAUUAGAAACCCCAGUAGUCC
rnacentral:rRNA from 1 species